ensembl:lncRNA
GACUUUUUAAAAUGGGAGCUGACAAGUCUAUGUGGACUUGAGCUAUGACAUUUGUACAGUGAACACUGUUCAAUUUGUGUAUAGUCUCAGUUGCUAGUUUCAUAUUGUGUUGAUUACUAUAUGACAGCAGUCCCCAACCCCCGGGCCAUGGGUCGGUACUGGUCCAUGAGUCGUUUGAUACUGGGCCACGACAGUUGAGACUCAGGUGUGAAAUUUAAGGUUUUCAGGGUUUUCAAUUGGCUUUUAUCUUUUUCUUUUUUUUAGCGUUAACUCAGUUUCCCUGGGUCUUUUCCCGUGUGUUAUGAAUAAAUCUUUUUAUUGGUACCAGUACUGGUUUUAUUUUGUUGUAUUUAUCUGCGAUACCUUAAAGGCUGGUCCGUGAAAAUAUUGUCGGACAUAAGCCGGCCCGUUGCGCCAAAAAGGUUGGGGACCGCUGGAAUAUGAUAUUUAUUUUGUAAACUGAGGUCCUUGUUAGCGUGAAAAAGGCCCUGCUUUAGGGCGGGGCCAAAGCAGACAAAUGAGCAUGUAGUCUUUUCAAAACUCCAAGAUGGCGGCAUUCAAAAUAAAUGGUUGUAGCCAUCAUUUAUGUACAGUCUAUGCAGUGUUCAAAUGAGGAACCUUCAAAGUCCAUUCACAAAUGUCUUUGCAUGGUGUAAAUCAUUAAUGAGGUUACACUGAAGUGAAAAACAAACAAACACAAAAACAUUUGGGAUUCAUAGUCUUAAAAGAGUGCAUCAGACCUGUUUCUGUAUCAUUAUUAACAGAAAGAAACACUUUUUUCAUCAUCAACAUCUGGAUUUUUAUAUUGCUUUCAGUUACACUUUUAUGUGGGUUCAGAAAAAGGCACCUGCUGUUAAAAUUCCAGACUAGACAAUUUUUGCCUCCAAAAAUUUUGCUGCAUUGACAUUAAUUUUAUUACCAGUGCCCUGGUUUUACUUCCAGUCAUCCUUUUUUUUUUUUUAAAUUGUAGUUGCAUUCCCUGUAACCAUUUUUUUUUUUUUUUACACAACUGAAUAAUCCACUGAGUCAAAUUUGGAAAUUCCCUUUUCAUUUGUCACAAGAAUCAAUAUGACGUGUUUCCAGAUAUAAUUUCUAUUUACAGCUGAACCACAGAUUACUCAAAGCACAAUCCUGUUAGAUGAGUUGCACACAUUCCUACCGCCAUAUUAAAGCCUCCUAAUAAGCCUAGGUGUCACCCCUGUCUCUGGUGUCUGGCCACUUUCUUCCUUUACUCUGCGAGUCCAGAGAUGCUUGGGAGGCACAAGCAGCCAGUCGGCAAGAAUUAGAGCAGCGUCCGUGAUUGUGCUGACGUCUGCAAGGGGCUAGGCUGGAGAUUAAGCCCAAUAAAAAUGUGUGAUUUGUUGCUUUCAUAUUUGGAAGAUGUCAGCUUCAAUUUGAGCUAGCACGCUGCCUUG